ensembl:lncRNA EPIC1 epigenetically induced MYC interacting lncRNA 1
AUCCUCUGCCAUUUUUGUCUCUUACUGUGCAUGCCCAGGAAGUUGUUUCUCCCUGACACUUGUGUUCAAUUAUCACUUUAGUACAAUAGGUGUGGACAUCAGGAAAUGGCCUCUCCCUGGCACCAGCUGCCAGUUUAUCACUUUUAGAGAGGCAAUGUGACCACUGCUGAACCAUCACCUGACAUUCGUAGUGGGUGGGGGAGAGCCUCUCCUGCCGCCGCUCAUGCCUGUCUAACUACCUAUAACACUUUCUGCUCUAUGAAUUUGACUAUUCUAGGGGACCUCAUAUGAGGCUUCAGGCUUGACCAAAUCUGACUGGCUGGCUGCCGGAGACACUGCUACCCAUCGGCCCUUAAUAAAUGGCCUCAUUUGAUCAUCAUGUGAUCUUCAGAAGCUGGGCUUGAUUAUCCUUGCCAAACAAAAUGCUGAAACCAAAAAUCUGAAAGCUUUGGACAUUCAGUUCUGCCUGUGCUGUUUCAUGCAAUGAAAUCAUAGUAAAUCAAAGGUUUCGCCAUCAUGUAAACCCUUGGGCGACAGAGUCUACCUGUCUCCCCCUGAUAUUGUUCUAUGAGAUUUCGAUGCUAUCUUCAUUGCCAGCAGCCCUGACAAAGAUGCACUGCAGACGGAUAGCCUCUCAGGAAAAUCUGACAGCUGGAAGCCGUGAGUUCUUGGCCCCUUGCCCUGAAGCAAGAGUGACCAGGCCUCUCUCCUGAGGGAAGGCCUUCCCAGGUGGGGACAUAGGCCCUAAAGUGAGAACUGAAGCAUUGUCCACUCCCUCUUUGAUGCCACAUGCAUGGACGGUUCAGUGAAUGUCGUGGGAACUCAGCUGUGCCCACCCCUGCUUUGUUACCCCGGCACUUUGGGAAACAGCAGAGUCCAGCAGAAACCACUGAAGUUUUGGGCUCGGAGGGAUUCCAGUUCAAGCCCCGGCUUCACCACCUACAAGGUUCAAUUUUGGUCUAGGAAUGGAACUUCUCUGAGUCUUAGUUGCUGUCAUCAAUAUUAUUUUACUGUCAUCAUUAUUUAUAGUAAAAUAAUAACCUC